rnacentral:lncRNA from 1 species
UAUGUACUCAUUCAACCCUCACAUUCACCCUACAAAGUCCUAUCAUCCCAUCACCACCAUCACCACCAUCACCACCAUCACCAUCACUACCACCACCACCCUCACCACCAUCACUACUGCCAUCACCACCACCAUCACCAUGACCACCAUCACGACCACCAUCAUCACCAUCACCAUCACUACCACCACCAUCACCACCAUCACCACCAUCACCACCACCAUCACUAUCACCAUCAUCACCAUCAUCACCAUCACCACCAUCACCACCAUCAUCACCAUCAUCACCAUCAUCACCAUCAUCACCAUCAUCACCAUCAUCACCACAAUCACCAUCAUCACCAUCACCGCCAUCAUCACCACCACCAUCAUCACCAUCACCACCAUCAUCACCACCACCGUCAUCACCAUCACCACCAUCAUCACCACCACCAUCAUCAUCAUCACCACCAUCACCAUCACCACCAUCAUCACCACCACCGUCACCACCAUCAGCACCAUCACCAUCAUCACCACCAUCACCACCCCAUCACUAUCACCACCAUCACCACCACCAUCACCAUCACCACCAUCAUUAGCACCACCAUCACCACCAUCAUCACCACCAUCACCAUCAUCACCAUCAUCACCACAAUCACCAUCGCCACCAUCAUCAUCAUCAUCAUCACCACCAUCACCACCACCAUCACCAUCAUCACCACCAUCACCACCCCAUCACUAUCACCACCAUCACCACCACCAUCACCAUCACCAUCACCGUCAUCACCAUUACCACCAUCACCACCAUCAUCACCAUCAUCACCACAAUCACCAUCAUCACCAUCACCACCAUCAUCACCACCACCAUCAUCACCAUCACCACCAUCAUCACCACCACCGUCAUCACCAUCACCACCAUCAUCACCACCACCGUCAUCACCAUCACCACCAUCAUCACCACCACCAUCAUCAUCAUCACCACCAUCACCACCACCACCAUCAUCACCACCACCGUCACCACCAUCAGCACCAUCACCAUCAUCACCACCAUCACCACCCCAUCACUAUCACCACCAUCACCACCACCAUCACCACCACAAUCACCACCAUCACCACCCCAUCAUUAUCACCACCAUCACCACCACCAUCACCAUCACCACCAUCAUCACCACAAUCACCAUCACCACCAUCACCACCAUCAUCAUCACCACCAUUGUCACCACCAUCACCAUCACCAUCAUCACCACCACCAUCACCAUCACCAUCAUCACCAUUACCACCAUCACCACCAUCAUCACCAUCAUCACCACUAUCACCAUCAUCACCAUCACCACCAUCAUCACCACCACCAUCAUCACCAUCACCACCAUCAUCACCACCACCGUCAUCACCAUCACCACCAUCAUCACCACCACCGUCAUCACCAUCACCACCAUCAUCACCACCACCAUCAUCAUCAUCACCACCAUCACCACCACCACCAUCAUCACCACCACCGUCACCACCAUCAGCACGAUCACCAUCAUCACCACCACCACCCCAUCACUAUCACCACCAUCACCACCACCAUCACCAUCACCACCAUCAUUAGCACCACCAUCACCACCAUCAUCACCACCAUCACCAUCAUCACCACAAUCACCAUCGCCACCAUCAUCAUCAUCAUCAUCACCACCAUCACCACCACCAUCACCACCAUCACCACCCCAUCACUAUCACCACCAUCACCACCACCAUCACCAUCACCACCAUCAUCAGCACCACCAUCACCACCAUCACCACCCCAUCACCAUCACCAUCAUCACCACCACCAUCACUAUCACCAUCAUCACCACCACCAUCACCAUCAUCACCACCAUCACCAUCACCACCACCAUCACCAUCACCACCAUCAUCACCACCACCGUCACCACCAUCAGCACCAUCACCAUCAUCACCACCAUCACUACCCCAUCACUAUCACCACCAUCACCACCACCAUCACCAUCACCACCAUCAUCAGCACCACCAUCACCACCAUCAUCACCACCAUCACCAUCAUCACCAUCAUCACCACAAUCACCAUCACCACCACCAUCACCACCAUCAUCAGCACCACCGUCACCACCAUCAUCACCACCAUCACCAUCAUCACCACCAUCAUCAUCAUCACCACUGUCACCAUCACCACCAUCAUCACCACCACCGUCACCACCAUCACCAUCAUCACCAUCAUCAACACCACCAUCACCACCAUCACCACCCCAUCAUUAUCACUACCAUCACCACCACCAUCACCAUCACCACCAUCAUCAGCACCACUGUCACCACCAUCACCACCACCAUCACCAUCAUCACCAUCAUCAUCACAAUCACCAUCACCACCAUCACCACCAUCAUCAUCAUCACCACCAUCACGACCAUCAUCAUUACCACCACCAUCACCACCAUCACCAUCAUCAUCAUCACCACCAUCAUCACCACCAUCACUAUCAUCACCAUCACCAUCACUACCACCACCAUCAUCACCAUCACCACCACCACCACCACCAUCACCACCAUCAUCACCAUCACCACCAUCACCAUCAUCAUCACCAUCACCACCACCGUCACCACCAUCACCAUCAUCACCACCACCGUCACCACCAUCAGCACCAUCACCAUCAUCACCACCAUCACCACCCCAUCACUAUCACCACCAUCACCACCACCAUCACCAUCACCACCAUCAUUAGCACCACCAUCACCACCAUCAUCACCACCAUCACCAUCAUCACCAUCAUCACCACAAUCACCAUCGCCACCAUCAUCAUCAUCAUCAUCAUCACCACCAUCACCACCACCAUCACCACCAUCACCACCCCAUCACUAUCACCACCAUCACCACCACCAUCACCAUCACCACCAUCAUCAGCACCACCAUCACCACCAUCACCACCCCAUCACCAUCACCAUCAUCACCACCACCAUCACUAUCACCAUCAUCACCACCAUCACCACCCCAUCACUAUCACCACCAUCACCACCAUCAUCAGCACCACCAUCACCAUCAUCACCAUCAUCACCACAAUCACCAUCACCACCAUCAUCAUCAUCAUCAUCAUCACCACCAUCACCAUCACCACCACCACUGUCACCACCAUCUACAUCACCACCAUCACCACCACCAUCACCAUCACCACCAUCAUCAACACCACCGUCACCACCAUCAUCACCACCAUCACCAUCAUCACCAUCAUCACCAUCAUCACAAUCACCAUCACCACCAUCACCACCAUCAUCAUCAUCACCACCGUCACCAUCACCACCACCGUCACCACCAUCACCAUCAUCACCACCAUCACGACCAUCAUCAUUACCACCACCAUCACCACCAUCACCAUCAUCAUCAUCACCACCAUCACCACCAUCACUAUCAUCACCAUCACCAUCACUACCACCACCAUCAUCACCAUCACCACCACCACCACCACCAUCACCACCAUCAUCACCAUCACCACCAUCACCAUCAUCAUCACCAUCACCACCACCGUCACCACCAUCACCAUCAUCACCACCAUCGUCACCACCAUCACCAUCAUCACCACCAUCACCACCACCAUCACCACCAUCAUCAGCACCACCGUCACCACCAUCAUCACCACCAUCACCAUCAUCACCACCAUCAUCAUCAUCACCACUGUCACCAUCACCACCAUCAUCACCACCACCGUCACCACCAUCACCAUCAUCACCAUCAUCACCACCACCAUCACCACCAUCACCACCCCAUCAUUAUCACCACCAUCACCACCACCAUCACCAUCACCACCAUCAUCAGCACCACCGUCACCACCACCAUCACCAUCAUCACCAUCAUCAUCACAAUCACCAUCACCACCAUCACCACCAUCAUCAUCAUCACCACCGUCACCAUCACCACCAUCAUCACCACCACCAUCACCACCAUCACCAUCAUCACCACCAUCACCACCAUCAUUACCACCACCAUCACCAUCAUCACCACCAUCAUCAUCAUCACCAGCAUCACCACCAUCACCAUCACCACCAUCAUCACCACCACCGUCACCACCAUCACCAUCAUCAUCAUAA